rnacentral:rRNA from 1 species
GAGACAGCAGUAGCCACGGUAAUACGUAGGGUGCGAGCGUUAAUCGGAAUUACUGGGCGUAAAGCGUGCGCAGGCGGUUUUGUAAGACAGAGGUGAAAUCCCCGGGCUCAACCUGGGAACUGCCUUUGUGACUGCAAGGCUAGAGUACGGCAGAGGGGGAUGGAAUUCCGCGUGUAGCAGUGAAAUGCGUAGAUAUGCGGAGGAACACCGAUGGCGAAGGCAAUCCCCUGGGCCUGUACUGACGCUCAUGCACGAAAGCGUGGGGAGCAAACAGGAUUAGAUACCCGAGUAGUCCCUGUCUCUUAUAC